UCGUAACAAGGUCUCCGUUGGUGAACCAGCGGAGGGAUCAUUACCGAGUUUACAACUCCCAAACCCCUGUGAACAUACCACUUGUUGCCUCGGCGGAUCAGCCCGCUCCCGGUAAAACGGGACGGCCCGCCAGAGGACCCCUAAACUCUGUUUCUAUAUGUAACUUCUGAGUAAAACCAUAAAUAAAUCAAAACUUUCAACAACGGAUCUCUUGGUUCUGGCAUCGAUGAAGAACGCAGCAAAAUGCGAUAAGUAAUGUGAAUUGCAGAAUUCAGUGAAUCAUCGAAUCUUUGAACGCACAUUGCGCCCGCCAGUAUUCUGGCGGGCAUGCCUGUUCGAGCGUCAUUUCAACCCUCAAGCACAGCUUGGUGUUGGGACUCGCGUUAAUUCGCGUUCCCCAAAUUGAUUGGCGGUCACGUCGAGCUUCCAUAGCGUAGUAGUAAAACCCUCGUUACUGGUAAUCGUCGCGGCCACGCCGUUAAACCCCAACUUCUGAAUGUUGACCUCGGAUCAGGUAGGAAUACCCGCUGAACUUAAGCAUAUCAAUAA
rnacentral:misc_RNA from 2 species